GGCUUCCAAAAUUCCUCAGUUCAAAUUUUCAGAAUUUAAACAUGAUGCUCACAUGAGGUCUAGCCUAAUGCAUAACAGGACCAGGGAUGUGACAUUGCCAACAGUGUUGUUGUCAUUGCCAUCGCUCCAACUGCUAGCACAAAUAAUCACUACUCUUCUUGCCUUACCCCUGAAGAGGAUGUGCUACUGCCUUUUUACCUGAUUGGAUAUUUGACUAUGCAAUUAAUAUUAAGUAUACUCGGUGAAACAUUUAUUUUUCUGAUAUCUGGUUAUUCUGUUAGCGAUUAUAUCAGCAAUUUUUCGUGGACCGGGUGUACUAGAUAAUGCAAUCAGCAUAGCCUCUACAUCAGGUAAAUACGUUAUCUUAUUGCUGGUCCUCCUGCCACCUUGGCUGUUUGAUGUGUGAGCUUCUGUUCAUGGUGAUUCGGUGACAUAUAUAAGGAUUAAUGUCUGAGCUUAUGUUCAUGGUGAUUCGUGACAUAUAUAAGGAUUGUGAUUAAUUCAUUGUGUCAGGGCUAUUAAUUUCUUACUGCUGGAUAACCUGUAUUGCUAAUCUGUUGUCCCUUCUUUCAGUUUAUAAUCACUACUACUUAAUCGAUGUGUUCUCAAGUUCUAUUCUGAUUUGCUUCCUAGCUAGGUUCUCGAAUAAGUUCCUGUGGUUGUAAACACCUACCCUUGAAUUGCAUGUUGUUUUGCUGAUUAUGCAGAGCACAUAAAACUGUAAUUACAAAAUCAUGUGUUGAAUUUGUUUGAGGGAGAGAACUAUGUGCAAAUGGAAGUAACAUACGUGACAGUCACAUAUGAUGGAUGAAAAGAGUAUGUGGUAUGUAUUGCCAUGGCUUCACCGAUAAAAUGUACUGAACUAUUCUUAAUACUACAAUCGGUUCUUGGUUUCAUAAGGAAACAAGAAGAGGAUGUGGGAAGGAUUCCAAUGUUUAUUUGCCCACAGCAUUCAGGGCUACUAUUGGCAUUAUCAUAUUUAUUUAUUCUGCUAGAUGAAAUGGUGCCAAGUCCACACCAGAACAAUGGGAAGUUCAGUAUGUAUGAAUAUUCAAAGCAGUAUUUCAACUCCGUUACUUAUAUUGAACACAAGCAAUUGUACAAGGUGGUAAGUAUAACUCAACCAAACUAUGAAAUUUGUGGGAUUGUCUACUCAAUUCCUAUGUUCUAUCCACCAACUCCUGUUUUCGAUACCUCCUGCACAUUUCUUUGGAUAACUCCAGUUGUUUUCGACAAAUCUUUGUUAUUCAUGUUUUACUCACCUUUCAUCUCUUCAAGACCUUGAGUUCUCUAUUGCAGGCUGUAAUUUUUAUUUUUACCACUCAAGGCUAUAUUAUUUCUCUGUAGCUAUAUUAUUAAGCGGAAUCAUUUAGGACUGCCCUUCUUUCCUGCCUUAGAGUGGAUAAAAUUAUCGGUAAUAUGCCAAAUAUCGGUAACUAAGGAACAUUUUGUACUCAGGUGCAAAGAUAAUGCUCAAGUUAAAUGAACCUUGAUUUUGCUUCUGGGCGGAUAGUUCAGUGUAUUAUCAAUGUAUAUGUGCGUGCAACUCAGUCGAACAUCUAUAGACCCUACAGACUGGAAAUUCCAUUAUAUGUGUUGUAAAUUCUUAGGUUACAGUUUCAAAUUAAAUAUAAGUAUUAUUAUGUGUAUGAUUGACAACCCCUAUAACUGAACCUUCAUAUAUGCAUUACAAGCUGCCCUCCCAAGUAUACGCAAUGUAUUAGACGGUUGCAAAGUCUGUACUUGCAGAAUAUUGUCUUUGAUUAUGAUUUUCUGAGUUUGUACAUAUUUUUCCCUUCCACCGACAUUUUGUUAUCUUUUCGUAAUGAUUCUGCACAUGUCUUAAGAUUAUCAAGUGCCAAUUUCCACUGGAUGCCAUGGUAUGCUGUUCUCCAUGUAUAUACAUAUAGGUUUAGUCUAUUAUUAUUUUUGAUGAAAAUUUCAUAGGUGAUAUGAACCGCUCCAUAUAUAUUUUGUGUUAGCAAUGUCUCCAGAAGAAUGAUGUAGCUUGGAUCUCUAAAUUUAUUGUGUGGGCGUCUUUGUUUUUCAUUUCAAUAGCUCACUGAAUGUUGGAUACUGAUCAAAAUUGAUUUCUGCAAUUUGUUUCAAACUUAGUACCGUUACCUUGAAUGUAAUUUUGUAACAUAUAUGAUGUAUUUUUCAAGAUGUGGCAAGCCAAUCUGAAGUUUCUUAUUAUAUUUUUCUUGCCAGGACAAAAGCAAAAGGCUAAGAAAUUUCCGCCUUCAUCUCUCUGUGCACAGAGUAUCCUCUUCUCUUUCAUUGAGCAGAGAUCCAAUUUUCUGUGAUUAUAUUUGUUCUACACAAAACUUCUAUGAUGUGCAUAUUGUUCUGACGAAUUUGGUCUUCCCUUUGUCUAUGUGAUGAAAUUCUAUCAAAUCAAAUUAUAUUUAGUCAGGCUUUUCCAGACAUCUUGUAAUAAUCCAUAGAUCAUAUAGACUAUAGUUGUAUCUUUGUUUGGCAAAUUUCAGUAAUAGUACUUUCAUAUAGACUAGCAAAAGUACCCGUACGUUGCACGGGAGAGAAAUUAAAUCAUCCAAAACUGAA